AAUACAUGUGCACUGGGCUGCACUGCUUUGGAUCGUUAUCGAGCAGAACCCAUGAUUGGCAUGGACACAUCCUCUGGAAGGGUGGUUGUAGCAUGAAGGGACAUGUGAAUCUUUAGUGCAUCUGGCACGUAAAUAUCUCGCAAUGCCAGUUACAACAGUGUCAAGUAAAUGCCUGUUCUCACUUUCAGGUGAGAUUGUAAACAAGAAGUGGGCAGCAUUAUCUCCUGCAAAUGU